rnacentral:rRNA from 1 species
CCCCGUGAAUUUAAGCAUAUCACUAAGCGGAGGAUGAGAAACUAACAAGGAUUCCCUUAGUAACGGCGAGUGAACAGGGAUGAGCCCAGCACCGAAGCCUUUGGCCAUUUGGUCACUAGGCAAUGUGGUGUUUAGGUUAGUCCGCAGAGGCACUGCUCCACUCUGAGUCCAGCAAUGAGUAUGGUAGCAUGGACAUGGCCCAUUGAGGGUGAAAGGCCCGUAAGGGUGGAGUUCACGCAGGCCAGUGCCUCUCUGGAUUGACCUAAGAGUCGGGUUGUUUGUGAAUGCAGCCCAAAGUGGGUGGUAAACUCCAUCCAAGGCUAAAUACAAGCACGAGUCCGAUAGAGAACAAGUACCGUGAGGGAAAGUUGAAAAGUACUUUGAAGAGAGAGUAAACAGUGCGUGAAACCGCUCAGAGGUAAACGGGUGGAGUUGAACUGCAUGCUCCGUGAAUUCAGCUGGUGAGAUUGUUGUUGGGCUUGGUCAAGUGGGGUAGACACUGAGGUAUGCUUAGCUGCAUGUCCCGGCCUGCAGGUUGGGAUGCGCGAUACGCUCAUCAUGCGUUGCGCGCCUCUGUUGUUUAUCUGCCCUCUCGCCAGUGCAUUUUCGCGGGGUGAUCACCAAGAUCGGCGUUGCUGUCUGGCUGCUUCAGUUAAACCGGUCUUACGCGUCCUUGUGGCGUUGUAUGGUCGGGACGGCAGGUAGCCUGUUAGCUUGCUCUGCUUGCUUUCGGGUAUAAUCAGCUGACUGAAGUGGUCCUGUGCAGUGCGUCGGAGCUGGCGGCCAGUUGUGCAUGCUCGUGUGUCAUGCCUUCCAAAGGGUCCUGUUUUGAUCGCUAUGUUGCCUGUUUCGGUGGGUCUAGCGAUAGACGGGGUUCUAUUGGGUUGGUGGUUCCGCGGGUAGCACUUUACAGGGCCAAAAGUCUUUGGUGUCGUGGUAGACUAUCCACCUGACCCGUCUUGAAACACGGACCAGGAAGUUUUAA